rnacentral:rRNA from 1 species
GCCUACGGGAGGCAGCAGUGGGGAAUAUUGCACAAUGGGGGAAACCCUGAUGCAGCGACGCCGCGUGAAGGAAGAAGUAUCUCGGUAUGUAAACUUCUAUCAGCAGGGAAGAAAACAGACGGUACCUGACUAAGAAGCCCCGGCUAACUACGUGCCAGCAGCCGCGGUAAUACGUAGGGGGCAAGCGUUAUCCGGAUUUACUGGGUGUAAAGGGAGCGUAGACGGCAGAGCAAGUCUGAAGUGAAAGCCCGCGGCCCAACUGCGGGACUGCUUUGGAAACUGCCCGGCUAGAGUGCUGGAGAGGG